rnacentral:rRNA from 1 species
ACAGGGAUUGCCCUAGUAACGGCGAGUGAAGCGGCAACAGCUCAAAUUUGAAAUCUGGCGUCUUCGGCGUCCGAGUUGUAAUUUGCAGAGGGCGCUUUGGCAUUGGCAGCGGUCCAAGUUCCUUGGAACAGGACGUCACAGAGGGUGAGAAUCCCGUACGUGGUCGCUAGCCUUUACCGUGUAAAGCCCCUUCGACGAGUCGAGUUGUUUGGGAAUGCAGCUCUAAAUGGGAGGUAAAUUUCUUCUAAAGCUAAAUACUGGCCAGAGACCGAUAGCGCACAAGUAGAGUGAUCGAAAGAUGAAAAGCACUUUGGAAAGAGAGUUAAAAAGCACGUGAAAUUGUUGAAAGGGAAGCGCUUGCAGCCAGACUUGCCUGUAGUUGCUCAUCCGGGUUUCUACCCGGUGCACUCUUCUAUAGGCAGGCCAGCAUCAGUUUGGGCGGUUGGAUAAAGGUCUCUGUCAUGUACCUCUCUUCGGGGAGAACUUAUAGGGGAGACGACAUGCAACCAGCCUGGACUGAGGUCCGCGCAUCUGCUAGGAUGCUGGCGUAAUGGCUGUAAGCGGCCCGUCUUGAAACACGGACCAAGGAGUCUAACAUCUAUGCGAGUGUUUGGGUGUCAAGCCCGAGCGCGUAAUGAAAGUGAACGGAGGUGGGAACCUUUCGGGGUGCACCAUCGACCGAUCCUGAUGUCUUCGGAUGGAUUUGAGUAAGAGCAUAGCUGUUGGGACCCGAAAGAUGGUGAACUAUGCUUGAAUAGGGUGAAGCCAGAGGAAACUCUGGUGGAGGCUCGCAGCGGUUCUGACGUGCAAAUCGAUCGUCAAAUUUGGGCAUAGGGGCGAAAGACUAAUCGAACUAUCUAGUAGCUGGUUCCUGCCGAAGUUUCCCUCAGGAUAGCAGUAACGUUUUCAGUUUUAUGAGGUAAAGCGAAUGAUUAAAGGCCUGGGGGUUGAAACAACCUUCACCUAUUCUCAAACUUUAAAUAUGUAAGAAGUCCUUGUUACUUGAUUGAACGUGGACAGUUGAAUGUAUCGUUACUAGUGGGCCAUUUUUGGUAAGCAGAACUGGCGAUGCGGGAUGAACCGAACGCGGGGUUAAGGUGCCAGAAUGCACGCUCAUCAGACACCACAAAAGGUGUUAGUUCAUCUAGACAGCAGGACGGUGGCCAUGGAAGUCGGAAUCCGCUAAGGAGUGUGUAACAACUCACCUGCCGAAUGAACUAGCCCUGAAAAUGGAUGGCGCUCAAGCGUGUUACCCAUACCCCGCCGCUGGGGCAGGAUUUAUGCCCCAGCGAGUAGGCAGGCGUGGAGGUCCGUGACGAAGCCUU